rnacentral:tRNA from 1 species
ACUUAAAUAGUUUAAAUAAAACGUUAGCUUGUGGCGCUUAAAAUGUAAGUAGAUUACUUUAAGUA